rnacentral:lncRNA from 1 species
AAUAAGUCCAACUUAUGCUGUGUUUGGAUUAAAAAUUUGGUUGGAUGAAAAUGAAAUCGAAAUUAAAAAGUUAAAAGUUCCAACAAUUUAGGAUCACAAAUUUUCUAAUUUUUUCCUUUUAUUUUCAUUUUCUCUUCUCAAAUUCCCAAUCCAAACACUGCCUUAGUAACCAAACCCCUCACUAAGAGAAACUUAAACCUUCCAUUAGAGAACAGAACAAAAUUAUACUACAAGUUAUACAUACACAUAUAGCUACUUCAGUUCUUGAA